AUUGAACGCUGGCGGCAGGCCUAACACAUGCAAGUCGAGCGAGCGGCGGACGGGUGAGUAAUGUAUGGGGACUGCCCGAUAGAGGGGGAUAACUACUGGAAACGGUGGCUAAUACCGCAUACUAUCGGAUAACCCAUAUGGGAUUAGCUAGUAGGUAAGGUAAUGGCUUACCUAGGCGACGAUCCCUAGCUGGUCUGAGAGGAUGAUCAGCCACACUGGGACGGAGAAACGGCCCAGAAUCCCACGGAGGCAGCAGGGGGGAAUAUUGCACAAUGGGCGCAAGCCUGAUGCAGCCAGGCCGCGUGUAUGAAGAAGGCCCUAGGGUUGUAAAGUACUUUCAGUCGGGAGGCGUUACCGACAGAAGAAGCACCGGCUAACUCCGUGCCAGCAGCCGCGGGAAUAA
rnacentral:rRNA from 1 species